ACUCCCUCAACAUCUACCAGUCCCACUACUGCAGUUUCUUUACAGUCGGUCACUUCUACAACAACUACCAGUUCUACUUCUACAGUUUAUUUACAGCCUGUCACUUCCACAACAUCUACCAGUUCCACUACUUCAGUUCCUUUACAGCCCGUCACUUCCACAACAUCUUCUAGUUCUACUUCU